rnacentral:piRNA from 1 species
UGUAUACAUUAAGUGUGCAGGUCCAAU